UACAGAGGGGGCAAGCGUUGUUCGGAAUUACUGGGCGUAAAGGGCUCGUAGGCGGCCAACUAAGUCAGACGUGAAAUCCCUCAGCUUAACUGGGGAACUGCGUCUGAUACUGGAUGGCUUGGAUUCGGGAGAGGAAUGCGGAAUUCCAGGUGUAGCGGUGAAAUGCGUAGAUAUCUGGAGGAACACCCGUGGUGCAGACGGCUUGCUGGACCAUGACUGACGCUGAGGCACGAAAGCGUGGGUAGCAAACAGG
rnacentral:rRNA from 1 species